rnacentral:rRNA from 1 species
UAGUUAUAUUCUUUAAACCUAAAGAAUUUGGCGGUAUUAUAGUCUAUUUAGAGGAAUUUGUACUUUUAUCGAUAAUCCCCGAUUUAUCUUGCUUUAUUUAGUAUAUCAGUAUGUAUACCGCCGUUAUAAGUUUAUUUUAUUAGAAUGAAAAUUUACAAUAUUUUUUAUAAAAAUGUAUUUCAGGUCAAGGUGCAGCUUAUAAUAAAGUAGUUAUGAAUUACAAUAUUAUUUGAUUAUACGGAUUUAAUUUUUGAAAUAUUUUAAUGAAGGUGGAUUUAAUUGUAAUUUUAUUAAAAAUAUUAUUUUGAAUUUAGCUCUAUAAUAUGUACACAUCGCCCG